GCCAGGCCUGGUGGUGUGCACCUGUAAUCCCAGCUACUCAGGAGGCUGAGGCAGGAGGAUGGUGUGAACCCGGGAGGCGGAGCUUGCAGUGAGCCGAGAUGGCGCCACAGCACUCCAGCCUGGGUGACAGAGCGAGACUCCCUCUCAAGAAAAAAAAAGGAAAGAAAUUAUAUACUGAUUUUUUUUUUUUUUUUUUUUUUUGAGAGGGAGUCUCGCUCUGUCGCCCAGGCUGGAGUGCAGUGGUGCCAUCUCGGCUCACUGCAAGCUCCGCCUCCCGGGUUCACGCCAUCCUCCUGCCUCAG
rnacentral:SRP_RNA from 1 species